GGCGCGGUGGCAUGAUGGUUAGCGCGUUGGACUCCGGAUCAAGCGGUCCAGGUUCGAGCGAUGGCCUGGGUCA